GAUGAACGCUGGCGGCGUGCCUAACACAUGCAAGUCGAGCGAUUCUCUUCGGAGAAGAGCGGCGGACGGGUGAGCAACGCGUGGGUAACCUGCCCUGUACACACGGAUAACAUACCGAAAGGUAUGCUAAUACGAGAUAAUAUGCUUUUAUCGCAUGGUAGAAGUAUCAAAGCUUUUGCGGUACAGGAUGGACCCGCGUCUGAUUAGCUAGUUGGUAAGGUAACGGCUUACCAAGGCAACGAUCAGUAGCCGACCUGAGAGGGUGAUCGGCCACAUUGGAACUGAGACACGGUCCAAACUCCUACGGGAGGCAGCAGUGGGGAAUAUUGCACAAUGGGCGAAAGCCUGAUGCAGCAACGCCGCGUGAGCGAUGAAGGCCUUCGGGUCGUAAAGCUCUGUCCUCAAGGAAGAUAAUGACGGUACUUGAGGAGGAAGCCCCGGCUAACUACGUGCCAGCCGCCGCCGUAA
rnacentral:rRNA from 1 species